GUUUUAUGUAAGUAAUAAAAUAUUACUAUAACAUAAAUAUAAACGUGACUUUGCAGUCUACAUUUCGCAAUCAACAUACAACCAAUGUAGUAAACAAAACAUUUGUAAUCCACUGCAACAUAAUAAUCAGAGCCGAAAAAAAAAAAAAAGCUCCAAACACACGUAGGAAAUAAAUAUAUAGAUAUAUAAAUGGUCAUAAAUGAAAUAUUAAAAUAUCUUCUUGGAAUUAGUAAGUGUACAAAACUGCCCGGAAAACAAAACAAAACGAACCCAGAACAAAUACAUAUGUUUACAUAUUCGACAUAUUUACAUAUUGGAAAUAAUCCUGACAACUAUUUAUUUAAAAUCUUUUCUCUUGUAAUUAAUUUUUUAUUUUUAUUACUUUUUUUUGGAAAAGGUUGUAUAUUCACACUGUUUCAAAUAACACUGCAGAAAUGAACACCUGCUGUCCAAUGAAAAAUGUCAGAUCUUGAGAAACAACGCGAAACGUUACCAGCCUCCUAUUUUUCCCCUAAUCCUGAAAAGAAGUGCCGAAAACACAUCCCUUAUUCACUAUAACAACUACUUUUCUCCGUGUCCAGGCUCAUGAGUAGGAUGCAAAAUGUAAUGAACAUAAACUAAACGGGCACAGCUGACAUAGAGAGUGUCAAGAGUUGGCCAAUAUUGAAGAAGAACUAAGAGGACAGCACGAUUUUUGGGCACUGAAAAUUACCUGAGAUAUUUCUUUCUUUCUCAUUUUGACUCAUCACUCUCAAUAUGUUUACUUGCUGUAAUAGUGCCGGUUCAAAAAACUGUAAACAAGCAAAGCAUUAAUGUCAUUUACAUUAAAAAAACAAACAAGAAAUGAAAAUAACAUAAUAUUAUAAGUGCCUCAUGCAAAGAGGAAAAAAUGAAAACAGUAGAACUCAAUAUGACUAAAUAUUGUUUCAGACAGUGUAUUCAUGUUGCCAUUUUAACGUCUAUGCAUCUUUAGACGAUAGCAGGUGCUAAGAAACGAUUAUUGUAAACAGUUUCUGGUGCACUUGCUUGUUUUGGAGGUUUUGACCAAGUGCCUGUUCUUUACAUCACGAAUUUCCUCUGUCUUAGUUGAUAUUAAAGUAAAAUACUCGCUAGACAGAAUUUUUUUUUUUAACGUUAAACCAUAAAAAAAAAAGAAAAAAAAGUAAACAACACAAAUAAUAUCGUAUAAAUCAUUAUGAUCAUUAAUCUGGUUAAUCGCUUUAAUAAAAUCACUGUCCAUUCUCCUUUGUCCAAGGAGACAUUGCCCUUUUGUGGCUCGUAGCUCCCUUUGAUCGGCGGUGAAAGAAUCGAUUUUUUCCAAAGUGGCACAAGCGAUACGAUUUUCGUAAACACUGGUACUGAUAUGAUAAAUGCACGCGAAGCUGACGUGGUAAUUAAUGCUUUUUUUUUACGUUAUUCAGAAUUAUUGGCGUCCCGUAAGAUGUCCGCAAACUCUUCCCAAACUUUCUGUCUCUGAUCACUUGGGAUAAACAAAGGGGAUAAACAAAAUCCAUUGUAGUUUCUUUUCAAACAAGUACACUGUUUAUGAUAGCAGUCACUGGACAGAACUCUGUAGCGUGUGAUGGAGAGGGGGUGUCUCCGCUUGUGAGUAUACGUCCUCCAUGGUUGGAUGAGGGACCCCCACCGGUGUCAUUCUUUUCUCUUUCUGUCUUCUGUUGCAAAACCAUACACGCACAACCUCUUUUUCCAACUGCAGAGUGCCAGCUAAAGUGGUGAUUUCGUGGGCGGAGGGCUUGGGGCACUUUAAGAAAUGGUUUUCCAGUGCCCCUUUCACUCCGACUUCGAUGGAGGUCCUCUUCUUUCGUUUCCGGCCCUGUGCUGCAAUCUUGUCCAAAUUCGUGGGGCUGCCAGUGUUUGAAUCUGUCUCCUCUAACCAUUUGUUAAGCAGAGGUUUCAGUUUGCACAUGUUUUUGAAACUAAGUUGCAGAGCCUCAAAUCGACAGAUGGUGGUCUGGGAAAAGACGUUUCCGUAGAGCGUGCCCAGCGCUAAGCCCACGUCCGCCUGCGUAAAACCAAGUUUGAUGCGCCUUUGCUUGAACUGUUUGGCGAACUGCUCCAGGUCGUCGGAGCUUGGGGCGUCUUCGUCCGAGUGGUCCUGGUGGUGGCUGAACGGCUGCUGAGGGGACUCCAUCUGGUUGUCAUGGCUACCCGCGUCGUCGUGGAGCGGGUCCCGCAAGCCGUGGUGCAGCGACGGCUGGGGGCUUAACAUAGUGUAGCCCGUCUGAGAGUAGACCAGCGACUGAUGACCAUUGGAGGCGGGAGAGAGCGGGGAUAAGUGGUGUGUUGUGGUCGGCGCCCAUGAUCCGUGGUGGCUGUUUUGCGUCGGCUGGUGGACCAGAUGCGAUCUGUGAUAGCCGUUCCCCAGGUCUUCUCUGCUCUGCACACUGCCUUUGUUGUGCUCCGCUUGUCCGAUGUGGGUGCCGCUGGUCCAGUCGGUGCUGGAGGUUGGCAGCCACUGGUGGUGCGUUAGGCUCAUCGGAUGUCCCGUGUUGGUCGCUAGCCCUUGCUUUUGCGAGGAAAUGUGCCAUCACAUACGCAGAAUUCAGGCAUCAAACCAAAAGGCUUCUCUGUGGACUAAUGGAGCUGAAAGCUGAUGAUGAUGAUAGAAAAAAUAUCAUGCAAACAUAAUUUGCCUUCUGUGAAAACAGAUGCAGAGAAAAAAAGGCUCAAAGAAGAACGAAUGACUUGCUUUGGAGACAUCUGAGAAGUCCACUGAAAGAGCUAAUGAUGGGAUCAAGGGGCAUUUGUAUAUGAAUUCAACCGUAUUAUAUCAAGAAAGGCUGCUUUUGCAACAGAUGCUUUGAGAUCACCACAAUAUGCUUGCACUGAACUUCUAGCCACGGGGUUACAUGUGUGUUUUGGACCGGUUAGGCGAUGGCAAACAGCAGAGUGGCCAGACCAGCUCCAGCCCGAAAAGGGUCACGACCAGACACCAAGAGCUCCUGUCUCGAUGUCGUCUGUGGUCAAGCACUAACUGAAUUAAAUUAGACUGCUUUUAAUUGAGGAUUGACUGGUCUGAGAGCAGCUGGUGCUUGGGUCAGUCAAGAUAGCAAAGCCUGAAUCCCCCAGGCCCCAACUGCAAUUUCAGCCCUGCAGGUCCUGGAAUGGACUGGGAGGGAGAAAAGGCCAGAGCAUGCUGGGAAUGCAUGGCUGAUGAUUAGCAAUAAGAGUUUAUAGGAAGGCUUAGACGAGAUUUGGCUUGUUUGCUUGAGUGGAAAGUGUAACUCACACACUCAGAGUCUGUAGACUCAGUGUAAAUCCGCUUAAGGUUUGCACCUUGCUGAAAAUCUCCUCAAUCGACACAAUUAAUCGCUUCAUUAAUUAACAAUCGCUGCACGAUACACCACCCCGACUGCGUCCUGGCAAGCGUGCAACUUACAAGCGACCCUUCUUUUUCUUCUUAUGUUCCCUUCUUUCACUCUUCCCACCCGCUCUGAUACUCCUCUUUUUAUCUUUUUCUUCUGCACGCCUUUUCUUUUCCUUCUCUAAGCAGCAUUGCCGAUGCAGACUCUGCUGUUUUAGCAUGAACAGACACACUUUUCUUUCAGCAAGCAGGUCAGAGCGCUCUGCUAACAUUUGUUAUCUAUAAUCCUGCAGGUCCCCACGCAAAAAGAGCGUAGUUAACUCUUGCAAAGCCCUAAUCCCUCCAUUUCUUUUAGAUGCGCUUUCUCUCUCAUGCUCUUUUCUUUUCCAUCUUUGGGGUGGGGAAGUGUUUUUUAAGAGGAGGCAUCUUUGACUGUGGCCCUUAUUUUUGAGUUCUUCUGAAUUACCAAACUUCUUUAACCUUCAAAAUUAUCUACCUUUUCUGCCAAUUAAAAAUAUUUAGAUUUUUUUGUUUUUUAUCACACUCCAAUGCUGAAGAAUCGUUUCGGGCUGCCACCAGCCGCCCAUGCUUUUAUGACAGGCUUUGUUGAUUUGUUUUUCAUACUCCUUGUGUGCAGAAAUCUGUGUAUUCAUACUGUAUGCAUUUACGGUUCAACUGUCGGUGUCAGUUAAUCUGGCUUGUGCUGUUGAUUUAUCUCAGUAACAUUCAAGGAUCUGUGCAAAAAAAAAAAAUUUUUUUUCUUUUGCCAUCACUCUCAAUUAUAUAUGCGCUGAUUUGAUUUGAGUUUGAUACUAUGGAAAUUAUGUAUAUGAAUGCUCUCGUGCAGUUCUGCUGCAUUUUGUCUUGGUCAUGCACACCCACACAUGUAGUGAGCACGUUGAAGUGUGUGUGUGUGUGUGUGUGUGUGUGUGUGUGUGUGUGUGUGUGUGUGUGUGUGUGUGUGUGUUGUAUGGUGAGUAAUAGCAGGGCUCAGUGGAAGGCUGUAGUGUUGACAGCAUGGUAAACGAUGCAGCCUGCCUACUGCAGCAGCUAGCCUGCUAAUCACACACACCACAUGAUAAUGAGAACAACCCCUGUCCUCCAACACACACACAUACGUCUAACCACAGCAAACAGACACAAACUCCCUCUCACACACACUGACCCAUACUUCUACAGACAAAUGGAAGACAUAAUGGUAGCCGGAGGCAGUGCACGGUGAAUCUCUCUAUCUCUCUCUCUUACACUCUCGAACCAAGCACAUCUCUAUCGCUUUACUGUCCUUACACACAUACAUACACUCUUCUCUCUCAUACUAACAUCUUUCUGUCAGAAAAGACUCGGACUUGAGCCACACUUACACUAAGAAAGUGACUUGAGAUUUGAUGUAGAAUCACAGGCAGUUAAGAUGGGACUUCAGAGACUUGUAAGUUUUUAGGUCUACAAGGCAAUGUGUUUUCUUGAAACAACCCAACAUUUUAUAGAGUGUUUGAUCAGAAAUACAAUAAAAACAAUAAAAAGUAUUAUUGGAAAAUAUUACUGCAAUUUAUAAUAACUAUUUUCUAUUUUAAUAUAUCUAAAAAUGUUAUUUAUUGAUCUGAUGUCAAAGCUGACUUUUCAGCAGCUAUUGUUCCAGUUUCCAGUGUCACACAAUCCUUCAGGAACCAUUGUAAUAUGCUGUUUUGGUUUUUAUUCAAGAAUACAAAAUCUUACUAUUAUUAUCAGUGUUACAUUUAUUUAUAAAUUUUUUUUUUUUAGGAUUCUUUGAUGAAUAGAAAAAAAAACAACAAAUAUGUAUAUAUAAAUAUAUAUUUAUCGCUUUUCCUCCAUUAAAUGCUUUUUUGUCCCCUGAAAGCUGCUUUAAAGUAUACAAUAUAAACAACAUAUUACAUGUGAUAUAUCACACUUUCCUGCUAAGGGGAUGAGGAGGACCUGAAAAAGAAAGGAAGCAUGUAAACCCUCAAACUCAGUUCCAUGGGUACAAGAUUUUGAGUCACAGCUUCUUUCUCAAGGUAGCUGUGGACCUAUGAGGGAUUUCAGUUCAGCUCUCUCCCUCACAACCCAAAAAAGUUUCAGUUGUAGAUGCAAUAGAGAGUCCCUCAACAGUCCCUACUCUGUUAGCCCAUCAGGACACUUUGCUGUUGCAUGGGGAGUCAGAAACAAAGAACAACUAUUUACUGUGGCACAAACCUCAGCUCUCGAAUUUCAAGAUGUUUGAAGACUGUGCCAGGAAUCGAAAAAUAGCAGGGCAAUUUGUUUGAGAUCAUGUGCAGAUUUAUGAACGUUACCUGUGAUUAACACGUUUAUAAAUUAGGAAAUUGUUUCCUGGAAAAUGUGCACUCCACGGAAUGACAAUGUGCAAAUGUGUUCGUUCAUUUUAAGUGAAGUCACACUUUACACAGUCUCACAUUCACACUUCUUUGUAUCUUGCAGGGCGGCAUGUGCAAGAUGUAGAAUGGAACAGGUGUGGUGCCCAUAGGUCAUUUUCAUACCAUAUGCACUCAAGGCCAUGGGGCAUGAUGUUACCAAAAGUGUCACAUCCCAACACUUUACUCUCUCUUUCUG
ensembl:lncRNA